AUCGAACGCUGGCGGCAGGCCUAACACAUGCAAGUCGAACGAGUGGCGGACGGGUGAGUAAUGUCUGGGAAACUGCCUGCUGGAGGGGGAUAACUACUGGAAACGGUAGCUAAUACCGCAUACUAUCGGAUCAGCCCAGAUGGGAUUAGCUUGUUGGUGGGGUAACGUCUCACCAAGGCGACCAUCCCUAGCUGGUCUGAGAGGAUGACCGGCCAAACUGGAACUGAGACACGGUCCAGACUCCUACGGGAGGCAGCAGGGGGGAAUUUUGGACAAUGGGGGAAACCCUGAUCCAGCCAGCCCGCGUGGAUGAUGAAGGCCUUCGGGUUGUAAAGUACUUUUGGCAGGGAAGCGGUAUCUGCAGAAUAAGCAACGGCUAACUACGUGCCAGCAGCCGCGGUAAUUC
rnacentral:rRNA from 1 species